rnacentral:rRNA from 1 species
UAAAGACUUCGGUGCCGCAGUUAACGCAUUAAGUGUUCCGCCUGGGGAGUACGCACGCAAGUGUGAAACUCAAAGGAAUUGACGGGGACCCGCACAAGCAGCGGAGCAUGUGGUUUAAUUCGAAGCAACGCGAAGAACCUUACCAGGGCUUGACAUCCCUCUGACCGAUCCCUAACCGGGUCUUCCCUUCGGGGCAGAGGAGACAGGUGGUGCAUGGUUGUCGUCAGCUCGUGUCGUGAGAUGUUGGGUUAAGUCCCGCAACGAGCGCAACCCUUGUCAUUAGUUGCCAUCAUUCAGUUGGGCANUCUAAUGAGACUGCCGGGGAUAACUCGGAGGAAGGUGGGGAUGACGUCAAAUCAUCAUGCCCCUUAUGUCCUGGGCUACACACGUGCUACAAUGGUCGGUACAACGAGACGCAAUACUGUGAAGUGGAGCAAAUCUUCAAAACCGACCCCAGUUCGGAUUGUAGGCUGAAACUCGCCUACAUGAAGUCGGAGUUGCUAGUAAUCGCAGAUCAGAAU